rnacentral:rRNA from 1 species
AGGGCGCACGGUGGAUGCCUUGGCACUAGAAGCCGAUGAAGGACGUGACUAACAACGAAAUGCUUUGGGGAGCUGUAAGUGAGCAAUGAUCCAGAGAUGUCCGAAUGGGGGAACCCGGCAGGUAAUGCCUGUCACUCAUUACUGUUAAGGUAAUGUAGAGGAAGACGCAGUGAACUGAAACAUCUAAGUAGCUGCAGGAAGAGAAAAGCAAAAGCGAUUGCCUUAGUAGCGGCGAGCGAAACGGCAAGAGGGCAAACCGAAGAGUUUACUCUUCGGGGUUGUAGGACUGCAACGUGGACUUAAAGAUUAUAGAAGAACUACCUGGGAAGGUAGGCCAAAGGGAGUAAUAGCCUCGUAUUCGAAAUAGUCUUUAUACCUAGCAGUAUCCUGAGUACGGCGAGACACGAGAAAUCUCGUCGGAAUCUGGGAGGACCAUCUCCCAACCCUAAAUACUCUCUAGUGACCGAUAGUGAACCAGUACCGUGAGGGAAAGGUGAAAAGCACCCCGGGAGGGGAGUGAAAUAGAACCUGAAACCGUGUGCCUACAACAAGUUCAAGCCCGUUAAUGGGUGAGAGCGUGCCUUUUGUAGAAUGAACCGGCGAGUUACGAUAUGAUGCGAGGUUAAGUUGAAGAAACGGAGCCGUAGGGAAACCGAGUCUUAAUAGGGCGCAUUAGUAUCAUGUCGUAGACCCGAAACCAUGUGACCUACCCAUGAGCAGGUUGAAGGUGAGGUAAAACUCACUGGAGGACCGAACCAGGGCACGUUGAAAAGUGCUUGGAUGACUUGUGGGUAGCGGAGAAAUUCCAAACGAACUUGGAGAUAGCUGGUUCUCUCCGAAAUAGCUUUAGGGCUAGCGUCGAUGUUAAGUCUCUUGGAGGUAGAGCACUGUUUGGGUGAGGGGUCCAUCCCGGAUUACCAAUCUCAGAUAAACUCCGAAUGCCAAUGAGAUAUAAUCGGCAGUCAGACUGCGAGUGCUAAGAUCCGUAGUCGAAAGGGAAACAGCCCAGACCACCAGCUAAGGUCCCAAAAUAUAUGUUAAGUGGAAAAGGAUGUGGGGUUGCACAGACAACUAGGAUGUUAGCUUAGAAGCAGCUAUUCAUUCAAGAGUGCGUAAUAGCUCACUAGUCGAGUGACCCUGACGCCGAAAAUGUACCGGGGCUAAAACAUAUUACCGAAGCUGUGGAUACCUUUAUAGGUAUGGUAGGAGAGCGUUCUAUGUGCGAAGAAGGUGUACCGUGAGGAGUGCUGGAGCGCAUAGAAGUGAGAAUGCCGGUAUGAGUAGCGAAAGACAGGUGAGAAUCCUGUCCACCGUAAGACUAAGGUUUCCAGGGGAAGGCUCGUCCGCCCUGGGUUAGUCGGGACCUAAGGAGAGACCGAAAGGUGUAUCCGAUGGACAACAGGUUGAUAUUCCUGUACUAGAGUAUAUAGUGAUGGAGGGACGCAGUAGGCUAACUAAACCAGACGAUUGGAAGUGUCUGGCCAAGCAGUGAGGUGUGAUAUGAGUCAAAUGCUUAUAUCUCUAACAUUGAGCUGUGAUGGGGAGCGAAGUUUAGUAGCGAAGUUAGUGAUGUCACACUGCCGAGAAAAGCUUCUAGCGUUAAUUAUACUCUACCCGUACCGCAAACCGACACAGGUAGUCGAGGCGAGUAGCCUCAGGUGAGCGAGAGAACUCUCGUUAAGGAACUCGGCAAAAUGGCCCCGUAACUUCGGGAGAAGGGGCGCUGACUGAUGGUCAGCCGCAGUGAAUAGGCCCAAGCAACUGUUUAUCAAAACCACAGCUCUCUGCUAAAUCGUAAGAUGAAGUAUAGGGGGUGACGCCUGCCCGGUGCUGGAAGGUUAAGAGGAGUGCUUAGCGUAAGCGAAGGUAUGAAUUGAAGCCCCAGUAAACGGCGGCCGUAACUAUAACGGUCCUAAGGUAGCGAAAUUCCUUGUCGGGUAAGUUCCGACCCGCACGAAAGGCGUAAUGAUUCGGGCACUGUCUCAACGAGAGACUCGGUGAAAUUUUAGUACCUGUGAAGAUUGCAGGUUACCCGCGACAGGACGGAAAGACCCCAUGGAGCUUUACUGCAGUUUGAUAUUGAGUAUCUGUACCACAUGUACAGGAUAGGUAGGAGCCUAUGACCUCGGGACGCCAGUUUCGAGUGAGGCGUUGUUGGGAUACUACCCUUGUGUUAUGGCUACUCUAACCCAGAUAGGUUAUCCCUAUCGGAGACAGUGUCUGACGGGCAGUUUGACUGGGGCGGUCGCCUCCUAAAAGGUAACGGAGGCGCCCAAAGGUUCCCUCAGAAUGGUUGGAAAUCAUUCGCAGAGUGUAAAGGUAUAAGGGAGCUUGACUGCGAGAGCUACAACUCGAGCAGGGACGAAAGUCGGGCUUAGUGAUCCGGUGGUUCCGUAUGGAAGGGCCAUCGCUCAACGGAUAAAAGCUACCCUGG